AUUGAACGCUGGCGGCAGGCCUAACACAUGCAAGUCGAACGAGUGGCGGACGGGUGAGUAAUGUCUGGGAAACUGCCUGAUGGAGGGGGAUAACUACUGGAAACGGUAGCUAAUACCGCAUACCCUCAGAUGUGCCCAGAUGGGAUUAGCUGGUAGGUGGGGUACCGGCUCACCUAGGCGACGAUCCCUCGCUGGUCUGAAAGGAUGACCAGCCACACUGGAACUGAGACACGGUCCAGACUCCUACGGGGAGCAGCAGUGGGGAAUAUUGCACAAUGGGCGCAAGCCUGAUGCAGCCAUGCCGCGUGUGUGAAGAAGGCCUUCGGGUUGUAAAGCACUUUCAGCGGGGAGGCGUUACCCGCAGAAGAAGCACCGGCUAACUCCGUGCCAGCAGCCGCGGUAAUUC
rnacentral:rRNA from 1 species